UACGUAGGGGGCAAGCGUUGUCCGGAUUUACUGGGCGUAAAGAGCGUGUAGGCGGCCAGGUAGGUCAGCUGUGAAAACUCGAGGCUCAACCUCGAGACGCCGGUUGAAACCAUCUGGCUAGAGUCCGGAAGAGGAGAGUGGAAUUCCUGGUGUAGCGGUGAAAUGCGCAGAUAUCGGGAAGAACACCCGUGGCGAAGGCGGUUCUCUGGGACGGUACUGACGCUGAGACGCGAAAGCGUGGGGAGCGAACAGG
rnacentral:rRNA from 1 species